rnacentral:misc_RNA from 1 species
GAAAAUUACAGGAUGAUAUUGAUUACAAAUAUUACAAAUUUUAGUCCAAGAAAAAGAAGAUAUUACAAUAAAAAUAAAGAAAACUCAGUCUAGAAAAAAAUAAUUAUCACUUUAUAUAUAAUUUCAAGGGAAAAUAAUAACUAAUAUAUUCCAUUCAACAAACCAAACAAAUGGCAUAAUGUUCUCAUCAACUGCCAGACUGAUAAAAUGCAAAGCGAUUACUAAACCCAAAACCAUCUUCUUUUGAAAAGAUGAAAAGACUUCUAUAAAAUACAAUGCAUGUCCCUGACUCUCCUUUUAACUUCGAGAUACAUCACAACUCUUACCUAAAUUCUAAUCAGAAUCUGGAUCAGCAUCCACAAUAUCUGGCAAAGACUCUGCUGAUGAGUCAUGAUCUGAUUCAGAACCAAAUACUGUUUCUUUUAGAGCACUAGCUGUUGUAUUUUUGCUUCCUACUGUGGAGGCAAUUUCACUACCUCUAUCUACCAUGCCAGCCUCAACUGGUGCAGUUUCCUUAUCUGUAGAAACUAAUGCACCAGUGCCUGAAGCUACCCUUGUUAAUUCCAGUUCAGGAAUUUUAGGAUCAUCAAGGACUACAGAAACGGUGGCAUCUUUAAGAGAUGUGAAACCCUGAAGCUGCAAUAUGGGUUCUUGAACUUGCUGUGAUUCGACAAUUAUUUCAUCACCAAAGUUUCCCAUCUCUACAUCUGCAUUAGCUACUGCUGGCUCGUCCUUACUUUGCCCAGGACUUUUUGUAGCCAUUGAACCUGCUUGAACUCCCAAGUUUUCAGAAGGCAUUUUGCUGUUUAUAUUUUUACCUGGGCCAUCUGCUGGAGUGUCUGUUUCUUUGCAACUGCCUAGCCAUCUCUCAAAAGUAACGUCAUCUGAAUCAGAAGAUCUAUGCCCUAUUUCCUGUAAUCCACCGUUAACUUCAUGGGAAGAUUUUUCAGAGGAAAAACCUGCCAGUGGCAGGGCCCGAGGAUGUAUAAGUACCUCCAACACCAAAAGUGCAUAGGAACAUAGUUCAGAAAGUUUUGUUCCAGUUUCUUGCCUUCCUCUACGAUAAAGCUCAAGACUCUGUGCUAAAUGUGGAGGACGCACACAAGAUGGUGACAGAAGAGACGCCAAGAGUGUACGCAAUAUUGCAAGCUGCAAAUCUGCAUGUGUGGAGGUCGACCCAUUAGGCAAGAAUGAGUUGCUUUCCUCGUUAGCCCAUCCCCCUUUACAACAAUCUGCUGCCAUAUUUAUUAAAAGAUUAUCAACUUUUGACAGCUUGGAAUCAGACCUCAAAGCACCACCCACAGUUAGAAGAGCUUCUAAUGCCUCAAGUGCUGCUAUCUUCACAGCUAUCAUAGUUGUGGGGUGACUCUUGGAUGCUUCUACAUCCAAACUAAUUGCAUCAUACUUUUGCUCUAGAGAUCCACUUGCUCCACGCUUCCUUUUUCUACGGCAAGGCUGCAGCAAUGCUUCAGAAGGGGCCAUUGGGUUUGCACUAGAAGAUGCAUCAUCACCAUUAAGAUUUAAGUCAAGAAGUGCAUUGUUGACAACUUCCUGGGCCAGAUAUAUUGCUAUUCCAACACCCACGGAUAUCAGCAACAUCUUUAUGAUCGAGUAUAUUUUUGUCCUUAAUUCUGACAAUUUACAUCUCCUAAAAUACUCUUUAACAAGUCGCACAACAUAAGCAGCAUGUGGCAAUAGUUGACUGCGUAUUCCCUUUACAACUGAAGUAAGAAGGUCCAAAGUGUAUGAAUGCAGAACUGGAAGUUCAGUACAAAUGAACUCUUGUUCCGAUGCAAUCACAAAGGGAGACAUGGCAUGUGGCAAGGAGCCAUCAACCAUCAACACUCUCUCAAUUAGGGCCAAAAAUGAGCGAACAGGUACUGUCACCUGGACUGGAUAUGAAGUUGUAAGCAUUGUACAACAACUAUGCAUCAAUGCAGAGACACUUGAUAGCUUAGAUCUCUUUCUUGCCCUGUCUGAUGUCUCUUCUAACAAAUUCUGACCCCAUAAAGAAGUUGGGGUAAUCUCUCCAGGUGGAACCAAUAAUCUAACAGCUUCAUCCCAUUUAGUUUCUUCUUCUAGACCAUGGAAGAUUUCAGUCAGGUAACCAUUUACCAAUAAUAGAAUCUUCCGCAUCAUUGAAAGCCAACUAUCAUCAUCUCCUCUUGAUUUAGGAAGUAAUGCUAGACAAUAGGCAAGCUUCUUAAGCAUAUUAAUACUGCAUUUUCCUGACAAAAUUUUUGAUGCAAUAACAGCUUCAACACUGUCAUAAUGACGAUGAAGAGAAGCUGGAAAGAAAGUUAUAACAGUGCGUAACAGAUGAAGUGCUCCUUCCCACACAUUCUCUGAACUAUCCUCUUGCAACAGCCUCAGAACAGGUUGAAUGAGUUUUCCAGCAUGGGAAGUUCCAUUCUUCUUGGCAUUAGGAAAUCCAGCUAACCUUGUCAUCAAAUCAGAUAUUGAGGUACAAGAAGCCACCUUUACAAACUGAGAAUCUGCUGGUGACUGAAUGUGUAAUAAAAGUUUGUCAAACCAUACAGCAUAUGAUGCCAGAAAGCGUUCAGAGCUGCAUUCUUGAGAAGUCACCCCCAGCAAACAGAUUGCUGCCCAACAUUUAUCUGGCAUGGUAGAGCUCGAGACCAGAAAUAAUAAUCGAUUGAGCCAAUCAUCAACGGCAGACUUCCAGCGUUCAAUUAGCUUAUCAUCCAUGGAACCGGUGAUGGAUUCAGCUAAAAGCUUGAAAGUUUGAAUAGUGGAGACAACCCUUGACAGCUUCAAUGGUGUGCCUAGUGGCUUCUUCUCGUCUGGGACAUCUUCCUUCAAUAAUGCACGGAGCAUACGAGGCUUCAGAGCAACAUCAUACAUAUCCUUCAAGUUCUCCAAGGCGGCCAUUGUAUUGUAGCAGGGAGUAAAAAAACCUCCGAACAAGAGAGGGCAGUGUUUGAUAAGGGUUUC